AGUCCUUAAGGACAUUUAGAAAAUGAAAAACCAAUAGCUCUUUAGAAUCAAAACCGUCUCUUCUCAAUAAUGGAAGUUAAAGAGACUUUCUUCCUCAACCCUUCUUUUUUCCCCUUCGAACAACCCCAAAUCUGGUCACUGAUUACCAUUUCUUUGCUCUUCUGUCGUUUCUGACUACCGACUAUCUUUUUCCAUCUCUUCCAUCACCGACAAAGGAAUCAUAUUAGUCAGAUAAGUAGUUCCUCCUCCUCUUAUGCCUUCUAUAGCUAGUCGAUGGGGUGUUUCAUUUGCCUUUUUGUCGAUAUAUCUAAACAUGUAUUCCUUAAAUCCUCGAUUGGAUCAUUUUGCAUCUUCAAUGUAAGCACUUAUCAUAGAAUCAUCUUAUCUUUGUGUCUCUAGUUUCUUAAUCACUGUGAGGUUGUCUUCUUCAACAACCACUUUCUUGAACCUAAGAUCCAGACCCAUUUGGACUCUUUGAAGGCAGACCAACACUUCAGCCGCAAAAAGGGUAGGUAUAUGGUAGUUGAUUAUCAUUCUUGAGCCCAUAAUCCUACCUUCUGAAUCUCAUCCCACUAACUCCGAACAAGAUUUAUUCAAAUUGCCUAGGAAAGACGCAUCAAAAUUUAUCAAUGUAACAUCUCUCACCCGAUCCGAUCGCUGAUCCAAGUAACAGAAUGCUAAAACAACUAUCAGAACUUACACAUAUGCAAACACAAUUUUAAAUAAGAGCAACAAGUACCACUAUCAACUGUUAGACAUGUAAUCAUAACUAGUUAAACAUUUAAAUAAAUAUUAGAAAUAGAAUUAUUCGAGUAGUAAGGACAAUUUUGAAAAAUUUCGAAAACUAGCGUAAGUAUCGAUACUUUUACCUAGAAUGCUAAAAUUUCACAAGCUAAAAUGUUUUUCAUGCUCAAAACAUAUUCCUACUCAACAUGCAAAUAAUGUUUACUCUAACCAAGCCUACUAUCAUCUUUCAACCAUUUUUCAUGCUACAUUAACACAUAUUGGUCAAACAACUAUAGAAUGCAUUACUAAUAUCAAUCCCAAGCAUCAAAAUUUGUCCACAUCCAAAGUCCAAAAACAACAUUAAAAAUUCAUAAGCCUAAUCCCAAAAUAAUGAUAAUAAUAAUAGUCGUAACCAUCACAUUGCCUUUAUUCAGUAUGUUUAAAGAAUCACAAAACCACUCACUCAAAAAUUAUGCCUUGCUUAAAUCAUUUCCUUUGCCGCUUCAGUCACACGGAAAGUGCUACUUAUCUGUAAAAUUUUAAUGUAGAGUGUGUGAGUUUAAAUAAGCUCAGUGAAUGUUCUGAAUUACUGCAAAGCAUACACAACAACAUAAGUUAAGUAAGGGUAAACUAAGGCACAUGCACAACCAUAUAUUCAUCAAUGCAAAAUAAUAUAUGUUGACACCAUUUUUUUGGUAAAACGGGGUCGACUUGGAUUUUGAAAACAAAAACGAACAUGAGAGUCGCCACCAAUUUUUUUUAUGAGGUGAUCGGGUCACCUCGAAAAAUGGUUAUUUUUAAUAAACGGUUUAGAUUUAUUAAAACAAUGCUUUAGGUCUGCGAAAUUCAGAAAAAUGGGUUUGGGAGUCGGUUACGUACAAAGAAGGAUUAGCAUCCUCGUAACGCCCAAAAUUGGUACCUAGUUGAUUAAUUAAUGUCUUAGUGUCGAAGAUUGAAAAUUUUGAAGAGAUCUAAAAUACGAUCCUUUAUUAAAAUUAUUAAAAAAUGCUCGAAUAAAUUGGAAAGAGAGUUAAAGACCCACUCGUCCCAAAGUAACAAAACAUCACAUCCCGUAAGUUAGGACACGAUAUUUGGAACCAUAGAGAGUAAGUUUGCCUUUAAUUUUUAUUGAAAUUUUAUAUUUUUGAAAAUUAGAAGGACAUUUCACUAUUUUGGUUUAAUGAGAAAAAUCGAAACCCCGUAAGUUAGGGUACGAUUUCUCGGGUCACUAAAACACGAAAUGUUACCUCAUAACGAAAUUUCUUUUAUUUUUUUUAAAAAAAUUUAAAAGGAUUCUUUGCUAUUUAGGAUUAGCGAGAAAACUGAAACCCCGUAAGUUAGGGUACGAUCUCUCGAAUCACUAAAAUGCAAAGAUAUUGCCUUAUUGAGAUUUCUUUCAUUUUUUGAAAUUUUAAAAGGAUAUUUUGCUAUUAGUUUUAACGAGAAAGACCGAAACCUCGUAAGUUAGGGCACGAUUUUCUCAUAGUUCUAACAUGCAAAAUAUUUCUUUAUUUUUUGGAUAUUUCUCUUGUUGAAUUUGAGUAAGAAUCGAUGGAAUAUUUAAGAGUAACGCGUAUGCGAUUUGGACUAUACUAAAAAAAAAAUUACUUGAGAUAAAAGAAAGCAUACCUAACUAAUAGUAAUAUUAUAAUAUACAUUUGCAACAACUAUAACAUAAUACACAUGAUAGAAUAGUUAUAUAGCCUUGAUACUAGCAAAACCUAAUACUAACAUAUAUGCAUAAAAGCAAUGAUACCAAUGUCAAUAUAAUAGCGACAAUAAAACACAAAACUAGUAAAAUUCCAAAAGGAGUAAAACAUUCAUGUAUUAUAUAUAAAAUUUAAUAUAAAUUAAAUCAUCAAAUAAUAAUAAGAACAUACAAAAACAUAAAACUAAUAAAAAUCAGAUUAAAUGUUAAAUAUAAAAUAAACAAACAAAUAAAAUGUUAAAAGGAAAAUUUAAUAAAAACCCUUUUUGUUUAAAAUAUAAAAACAAAUAUAAAUAAAUAAUAAAAAUAAAAUGUCUGAGGACCGAAUUAAAAUCGGGUCACAAUAUUGGGGUUUAAACCGCAAAUAAUUAAAAAAGGUUGCAAGGGACUGAACUGAAAUAUGCUCGAAGCGUGAGGGACCUUUAGGGAAAUAUUCUCCAGCCCUAAAUGCAGUGAGAGUCUGCGCAUGGUCUAAGGACCAGAUUGAAUUGGAAGUCAAAAUUCGCGGCCCAAAUCAAAAAAACAAGAAGGAUCGAAUUGCACUGUGGCGCAAGAUGGAAGGACCCCGCACGUAAUUAGCCCAAUCAUCGUAAAAUACGCAGAUCCUACGGGCUGCGGGUCGGGUCACGGGUCGGCCUCCCUAGAACGACGCCGUUUUGGCGCCUGAGGAGGCCUAUUGUAACGGUGCCGUUUUAUUACAUCAUUGAAGCCAGAUUUUUUUUUGACCUUUUAUUUUCAGUCCAGAAGGAAAAAACUAAAGGGAGCCUCCAUUUCCUCUCAACGCCCCCAUCUCUCCGGCCUAGGUUUUCAACAGUAGGUCGCCCUAGCGCCGCCGUGUAACCACCGUGCCAGAGAGUAAAAACGUCUUUUUUCUUUUAAAAAAGGAAUCCUCUCCCUUUAAAGGGGCUUUUUCUUCAAAUGUAAAUCCGAUUCGGGGUAUUUUGAAACUGCAAACGAGGAAGAAAAAGAGGACGUGGUCGUCCUUGCUACUUCGCCGUCUUCUUUUUGCGGAUGCAGUCGAGAUGAAAUCUCAAGGGGUUUUUGCGGCCUUAACGACUGGAGGAGAACUCCGACGGCGAUAGCCCACGAGGAGACAGGUAAGUCCCGACCGCCCUUUUGGUUUUCUGUUUUUCUUUAUUUAUUCCAUUUUUAAAAUAAAAAUAAAAAAUAAAAAUAAAUCUAAAAUAACAGAGACACAAAUCACCUUCUGUAGUCUGAAAUCUAUAUCUUGAUUACUUGUGUAUCUGAAAAACAAUUACAGAGAUUGGGUUUAGGCUUUUAUAGCCAAACUAAAGCUAAUUGCUAUGAUUUCUUGUCUUUUUCUUUUUCUUUUCUGUUUGCUUUUAUUUCUUUGAUUUUCUUGCUGUUAGUAUUUUGUUUGUUUCUUCGUUGUCUUCUCUGUUGCAUGUGUUUUCUGUUUUGCAGGUGACUGAUGUGAUGAGCAUGGGAAGGCGGCGAUUGGUGAGACCGACGAUUGGCAAGCCGAGCGGCGGCGACGUAUGCAAAGGAGGCUAGCAGAACAUGCGGUGCCGAAGGCUGACCCUGGCUAGGGUUUCUUACUCAAGAAAAUGUUUUAAUCGGGCUUUGGGCUGUUAGGUUUUUUAGUUGUUGGGCUAGCUGGGUUAGAUUUAAUCUGAUUUGGGCUAGACUUUGGGUUAUUAGGUUUUGGGUUUCAUUUGGGCUUUGGGGUCAUAUUGGGCCUAUUAUAGAUUGACUUUUUAUUUUUGGGUUUACUUUUGUUUUGAUAUUUGGGCCCCGGGCAGAAAUUGGGCCUUACAAUAUAACCAUGCUUCAUUAUCUCAUAGGGCUAGCAUAUACUCUCACAUGUAUUUACACAAAAAAUAACUCAUAUAUAAUUCAAAUAAUGAUAAUUUGGUAGCUUGAAAUUAUGAAACGUAAAAUUAGACUCUAUCACCACACAUUGGAGAAAUGAAUCUCUAUCACACCAAUGACUCAAAGAGUCUAACAUGUCUUAUAAGUGUAGCAUAAAGCUAAACACUCUCUAACACACCAUGUCCUGAUGAAUGGAUCUUAGCUUGACAUUCUUUUAUUUCUCCAAUCUGUCCUGGGCCACAAUGCCCCAAUCACAAACGCAAAGGUGAGUACUCACAAUCCUAUGACAUGCCAAUUAUAUCCAACGAUUUCAAGAGAUUACAAGGUCAAAAUAUCCACAAUUACACAUUUUAAAUAUUAUUUUAAUGCACAUAAUCUCUGUUCAUAUCCAUCAAUUUACAUCACAAACUUGUACAAAAUGCAUCAUAUAGGAUUCACAUUUAAUUACACUUUAAGUGCCACAAUAAUGCUCAUUGAGCCAUUAUGCAUCAGACCACGCACGUGUGCAUUAAAAUCAAUUUAUGGUAUCCAAAUAUUCACACACAUUACUUGUCAUAACAGUUUCACAUUUUACAACUCAACAUACAUUAGACAAAAUUUCACAAUAAAACAAAAAGUAUAAAGAAGGCUUACACUUGGAACUUAGGAUUGGGGUUUAGCCUAUUGCUAAGCUCCCGGUUAAUGCUACGAAUACCAACAACGACUCCAGGCACUCAUCGAUCACGCUUCCGCUUACUAGGCGAAAGGUCAAACAAGCUUUUCCUUGCAUUUAGACUUCCUCGUAGUGGCUCCAUAUUGAUCCAAAACUUUACACACAUAACAAACACAUUCUAAAAUCAUUAAAAACAACCUUGAACACAACCAAACAACAAGGAAAACACCAUCCAAGCCUCUCAUUUCUCGUUACCGAAAACUAGCUAGUUUUACCGAAAUUAAAGUUUUGACACUCCUAAUAUCAUUUUUAAUCCUCAAUUUUGAUUUCAAACAUCGCAAACAUCAUUUAAUUUCAUAUCUAAACCAUUAAUUUCACCUAAAUCUAUAGUUCUAAAAUUUCCAAAAAAUUCAAGCUUUCAAAGACAUGUAAAAGGGAAAAAUGUUUGAUUAUUGAAAAUUCAGUUAUGAACUAUCAAAUUGAAGUGGAAUACCUUCUAAUUAGGUUAGAAUGAAUCAAAAGUCACUUUGAAAACACAUGUUUACUCAAGGUUAUGAUAUUUGCUAUUUUUGAAUCCAAGCUUGCUUUAAAAACAUCAAAUCUAAAUAAUUCUUCAUACAAUCGUUUAAAACUCAAAUUGAAUUAACAACACUCUUUCUUUAACCUUAAAAAGUUAGAAUAUUACCUUAAUUCGAUGAAAAUGAUGAUUUAGAACUUUAAUUUUGGAUUUGAACUCAAGAAGAACAAUGAAAAUUUUGGGAAAGAAAAUGCGAUUUUUCUUUGAAAUUGGAUGUUAUUUUGGUGUUUGGGAGGUUAAUAAAUAUAAAAUGAUAAAUCAAUUUUGAAAGAAACCCUUUCUUUUAGCUUUAGGGAAAAUUUGAAUAGUUUAGGGUUUAAGAGAGGGAAUAAGACGUGAAUGACUCCAUGUAAAUGACCAAGUUUCAAAAAUUGGGAAAUUUACCCUUUUGGUCACUCCCUGUUUCUCCCCUUUUCCAUUAGGUCCUAAUUCAAUUAGAAUCCAUUUUUUUUCAAAUUAGACUUCAAAAUUAAAUUUUUAAGUUAUUUAAUAAAAUAAAAACUAGAUUACGUUACUUUAAUACUUUAAUUACUUACUUACGACCCUAAUUUCUAGUAUCUAACUCAACUAACUCGAUUUUGCUAACCCAAAACUAUUACGUUGGGUUUUGGGAUGUGGCAAACUUAAAAAAAUGUGGCUUUGAUGGUCUCCAUCUUUCUGAUUGAACCCGCCUUUCAGGUAAACAAACAUUUGUCUCAUCAAUAUCCUAUAUAUAUGAUAUGAUAAAAUGUACCGUUUCUGUGUUUGGUUGAUGUCUCCCUUCAUGCACCUGUCUGUUUUUGUCCCCCCAAAUAGCCCAGAUUACACAUGUUAUUUCCUUGCACUUAUCCUUAGAAUGCACAAAGAACAAAUAGUCCAUCCACUAUCAGUAUCUCUCAUUCGGCUGUCCUCCCAAAUAGCCCAGAUUGCACAUGUUAUUUCUUUGCACUUAUCCUUAGAAUGCACAAGGAACAACCAAACCAUCCAUUGUUUGUAUCUCUCAUUAGACUAAUCUUUAGGCCAUUGGAUUUUUAACUUACUCCAUAAAUAGAUAAUAUUUUGUAAAUAAAAGAAGUUAGAUUCAUAAUUAAGUAAUGAUACAAUGUUAUAAAAAGUAUUUUUAUACAAAGUAAAAAAAUAAAUCAUAAUGAUUUGUUUGUUUAUGUCCUCUUUUAUUUCAUCAAAAGAAACAAAAUCAUAAAAUAAAACAGUUUAGUGAAUUGGAGAAGUUAUUUCUUUUUUUGGUAAUGAUUUGUUUGUUUAUGUGCUCUUUUAUUUCAUCAAAAGAAACAAAAUCAUAAAAUAAAACAAUUUAGUGAAUUGGAGAAGUUAUUUCUUUUUUUCUUUUUUGGUGAAAAGAAACAAAUUACAAAAAACUAAUUAAGUUAAUUUCUCUAAGAGAGAAUCUUCAAACAGUCUAAGGCCUCAUCUCUUAUCGCGAACCAUCUUGACAAGUUCAUUUGUGAUUUUAUUCUCCUUGCAAAGAUAUAUUGAAUUUUCCAUUGUCUUACUAAAUCCAAUAGCUAGUGAAUUCUCUUGAUAAAAUACGAAUUAGAAUCCCCAACGAUACAUCUUGAAUUGCAUUAACGGGUUCAAGACUAUUAGUCUGAAUUAGAACACUACCAUAAUCCCGUUGCAGAGUAAGCUUCAAAACAUCUAGGAUACCCUAGAGUUCGGCGUCAACAACCAUGCACAUGCCUAAAUAUCUACUAAAAUAGAAGAUAUAGUCCUCAUUGUGGUUACAUACAAAUCCUCGGGCAACAACAAAACUGUCCUCAUUUCUAACCAAACCAUCUGUAGUCAGGUGUACGUAAUUCUUUGUUGGAUCCGGUCCUACAACGAGACUUUGUGAACCAUACUUAAAAGAUUUGGAAACAAAAGUGAAUUAGUUUUCCCAACUAAUAGAAACCAUGAUGAUUUCAUUAAUAUUCCAUAAGGAACCCUGGAAAAUGUAGAGGUUACGGUUUUUCUAAAUGCGCUAAGAAAUCAUCCCAAAAAGGCAUGGCGAAUCAACUCAUUUCAGACAAAAAAAAAC
rnacentral:lncRNA from 1 species